rnacentral:rRNA from 1 species
UGGGGAAUAUUGGACAAUGGGCGAAAGCCUGAUCCAGCCAUGCCGCGUGUGUGAAGAAGGUCUUCGGAUUGUAAAGCACUUUAAGUUGGGAGGAAGGGCAGUUACCUAAUACGUGAUUGUUUUGACGUUACCGACAGAAUAAGCACCGGCUAACUCUGUGCCAGCAGCCGCGGUAAUACAGAGGGUGCAAGCGUUAAUCGGAAUUACUGGGCGUAAAGCGCGCGUAGGUGGUUUGUUAAGUUGGAUGUGAAAUCCCCGGUCUCAACCUGGGAACUGCAUUCAAAACUGACUGACUAGAGUAUGGUAGAGGGUGGUGGAAUUUCCUGUGUAGCGGUGAAAUGCGUAGAUAUAGGAAGGAACACCAGUGGCGAAGGCGACCACCUGGACUAAUACUGACACUGAGGUGCGAAAGCGUGGGGAGCAAACA